AGGUAGAGAAUACCAAGGCGCUUGAGAGAACUCGGGUGAAGGAACUAGGCAAAAUGGUGCCGUAACUUCGGGAGAAGGCACGCUGGUGUGUAGGUGAAGCCCCUGCGGGUGGAGCUGAGACCAGUCGAAGAUACCAGCUGGCUAGCAACUGUUUAUUAAAAACACAGCACUGUGCAAACACGAAAGUGGACGUAUACGGUGUGACGCCUGCCCG
rnacentral:rRNA from 1 species